UCCCUACACUUCACCAUUUUCAACCAACUAAGUCAUCUAACAAAACCACAUUGCAAAACAAAAAUCUCUUUUAAAGUCCCUACACUUAACAAUUUUCGAGCAACCAAGUCACCAAACAAAACCACAUUCCAAAUCAAAAAAAUCUUUUAAAGUCACUAAACUUAACCAUUUUCAACCAACUAAGUGACCUAACAAAACCACAUUGCAAAACAAAAAUCUCUUUUAAAGUCCUUACACGUAACAAUUUCGAAGCAUCUAAGUGUCAAAACAAAACAACAUUCAAAAACAAAAAUCUAUUUUAAAGUCCC
rnacentral:lncRNA from 1 species